AUAUCAAUAAGCGCAGGAAAAGAAACCAACAGGGAUUGCCUCAGUAACGGCGAGUGAAGCGGCAACAGCUCAAAUUUGAAAUCUGGCCUCUUGGGGUCCGAGUUGUAAUUUGUAGAGGAUGUUUCGGGUACCGCCUCGGUUUAAAUUUCUUGGAACAGAAUGUCAAAGAGGGUGAGAAUCCCGUCUUGGACCGGCGGUAGGGCCUAUGUGAAACUCCUUCGACGAGUCGAGUUGUUUGGGAAUGCAGCUCAAAAUGGGUGGUAAAUUUCAUCUAAAGCUAAAUAUUGGCCAGAGACCGAUAGCGCACAAGUAGAGUGAUCGAAAGAUGAAAAGCACUUUGAAAAGAGAGUUAAACAGUAUGUGAAAUUGUUGAAAGGGAAGCGCUUGCAACCAGACUUGAGCGCGGCGGUUCCCCCUUGCUUCUGCUUGGGUUACUCCGCCGUGUCCAGGCCAACAUCGGUUCUGGGGGUCGGUCAAAGGCUCUGGGAAUGUAUCUACCCACGGGUAGACUUAUAGACCAGGGUGUCAUGCGACCUCCCGGGACCGAGGAACGCGCUUCGGCUCGGAUGUUGGCGUAAUGGUUGUCAGCGACCCGUCUUGAAACACGGACCAAGGAGUCUAACAUCUAUGCGAGUGUUUGGGUGUCAAACCCGGAACGCGGAAUGAAAGUGAACGGAGGUAGGAAGCUUCGGCUGCACUAUCGACCGAUCCUGAAGUUUACGGAUGGAUUUGAGUAAGAGCAUAGCUGUUGGGACCCGAAAGAUGGUGAACUAUGCCUGAAUAGGGUGAAGCCAGAGGAAACUCUGGUGGAGGCUCGCAGCGGUUCUGACGUGCAAAUCGAUCGUCAAAUUUGGGUAUAGGGGCGAAAGACUAAUCGAACCAUCUGGUAGCUGGUUCCUGCCGAAGUUUCCCUCAGGAUAGCAGUAACGUUUUCAGUUUUAUGAGGUAAAGCGAAUGAUUAGAGGCCUUGGGGUUGAAACAACCUUAACCUAUUCUCAAACUUUAAAUAUGUAAGAAGUCCUUGUUACUUAAUUGAACGUGGACAAUUGAAUGUACCGUUACUAGUGGGCCAUUUUUGGUAAGCAGAACUGGCGAUGCGGGAUGAACCGAACGUGAGGUUAAGGUGCCGGAAUGCACGCUCAUCAGACACCACAAAAGGUGUCAAUGCAUCUAGACAGCCGGACGGUGGCCAUGGAAGUCGGAAUCCGCUUAGGAGUGUGUAACAACUCACCGGCCGAAUGCAUUGGCCCUGAAAAUGGAUGGCGCUUAAGCGUGCUACCUAUACCUCGCCGUUAGGGUUGACAUGAUGCCCUAACGAGUAGGCAGGCGUGGAGGUCCGUGACGAAGC
rnacentral:rRNA from 1 species